CCAACUGCUUUUAUUGUAGUCUACCUUCACAACAUCUUGAAGAACCACACGGCUCAUGCUUGUGAAGGAGACACGCUCAUCAUCAAGUGUCCCUCCAGGACAUCUGUGGCCGUCCUCUCGGCUUUCUAUGGACGACGUGUACCUAAUCUGCAUUUGUGUCCCUCUGCAAACACAAACACAACUGCAGAGGAGGAUAACGAAUGCACUUCCCCAGUCGCUACCGAGAAAGUGCUGUCAGAGUGUCAGGAUCGGCGGUCCUGUCACAUCCCUGUCUUCAGUCCAGUGUUUGGGCAGGACCCCUGUCCUCUCACCAGCAAGUACCUUCUAGUCUCCUACAAGUGCAGACCAGAGCACCACCGCAGCAGGCUGGUGUGUGAGAAUGAGCGUCUGAGGCUGACUUGUAAAAACGACACCGUCCUCGCCAUCUACUCAGCCUCGUUCGGACACCUGCUGCACGGCAGUCCUCACUGUCCUCAGGAACCUGGAUCACACAAUGACAUGGGUCUGAAACCUGCUCCUUCUCUGCUAGUGAAAAUAUAGUGGAACAAAUAUCAGUUCUAGGCAUAAGUGGGGAGUAAUUAGUGGGUCCUAUUAUUUUAGUUUGGUUUAGUUUAGUUAUAUCAAGGAUGAUGUGUACAUAAAUACAAUAGUCUUAAACAUUAAAAGAGAUGAUUCGUAGAGAUGGCAAAUUUAGAAAUCAUUUGUAAAACAAACUACUACUGUUACAAAUG